rnacentral:rRNA from 1 species
UACGUAGGGGAGCAAGCGUUGUCCGGAAUCAUUGGGCGUAAAGCGCGCGUAGGUGGCUUCGUAAGUCCGUUGUGAAAGUCAAAGGCUCAACCUUUGAAUGCCGAUGGAUACUGCGGAGCUAGAGUACGGAAGAGGCGAGUGGAAUUCCUGGUGUAGCAGUGGAAUGCGCAGAUAUCAGGAGGAACACCAAUAGCGAAGGCAGCUCGCUGGGACGUUACUGACACUAAGGCGCGAAAGCGUGGGGAGCGAACAGG